GUCAGAAUGGCCGAGUGGUCGAAGGCGCCAGACUUAAGUUCUGGUCCACGUAUGUGGGCGUGGGUUCAAAUCCCACUUCUCCCCCGCAGGGGCG
rnacentral:tRNA from 1 species